rnacentral:rRNA from 1 species
UACGUAGGUGGCGAGCGUUGUCCGGAUUUACUGGGCGUAAAGGGCGUGCAGGCGGUUUGUUAAGUGCAGGGUGAAAGCUCCCGGCUCAACUGGGAGAGGUCCUUGCAUACUGGCGAACUCGAGGGAGGCAGAGGAAAGUGGAAUUCCCGGUGUAGUGGUGAUAUGCGUAGAUAUCGGGAGGAACACCUGUGGCGAAGGCGGCUUCCUGGACCGGUUCUGACACUGAGGAGCGAAAGCGUGGGGAGCGAUCCGG